AUUGAACGCUGGCGGCAUGCCUUACACAUGCAAGUCGAACGGCAGCACGGGUGCUUGCACCUGGUGGCGAGUGGCGAACGGGUGAGUAAUGCAUCGGAACGUGCCCAGUCGUGGGGGAUAACGCAGCGAAAGUUGUGCUAAUACCGCAUACGUCCUGAGGGAGAAAGCAGGGGAUCUUCGGACCUUGUGCGAUUGGAGCGGCCGAUGUCAGAUUAGCUAGUUGGUGAGGUAAGAGCUCACCAAGGCGACGAUCUGUAGCUGGUCUGAGAGGAUGAUCAGCCACACUGGAACUGAGACACGGUCCAGACUCCUACGGGAGGCAGCAGUGGGGAAUUUUGGACAAUGGGGGCAACCCUGAUCCAGCCAUGCCGCGUGAGUGAAGAAGGCCUUCGGGUUGUAAAGCUCUUUCGGCCGGGAAGAAAUCGUGCAGGCUAAUACCCUGUAUGGAUGACGGUACCGGAAUAAGAAGCACCGGCUAACUACGUGCCAGCCGCCGCAGUAA
rnacentral:rRNA from 1 species